rnacentral:rRNA from 1 species
AUUGAACGCUGGCUGCAGGCUUAACACAUGCAAGUCGAACGAGUGGCGGACGGGUUAGUAAUGCUUGGGACUCUCCCUUAUGGAGGGGGAUAACUACGGGAAACUGUAGCUAAUACCGCGUACCCUAGUCUGAACCCAAGUGGGCUUAGCUCGUUGGUGGGGUAAAGGCUCACCAAGCCGACGAUCUCUAGCUGGUCUGAGAGGAUGACCAGCAACACUGGGACUGAGACACGGCCCAGACUCGUACGGGAGGCAGCAGUGGGGAAUAUUGCGCAAUGGGGGCAAGCCUGAUGCAGCCAUGCCGCGUGAAUGAAGAAGGCCUUCGGGUUGUAAAGUUCUUUCAGUGGGGAGGCGUUACCCACAGAAGAAGCACCGGCUAACUCCGUGCCAGCAGCCGCGGUAAUAC